rnacentral:rRNA from 1 species
UACGGAGGGUGCGAGCGUUGUCCGGAAUCACUGGGCGUAAAGGGCGCGUAGGCGGCGCGAGAAGUCAACGGUGAAAGCCCGGGGCUCAACCCCGGAUCGGCCGUCGAUACUCUCGUGCUUGAGCACUGUAGAGGCAGGUGGAAUUCCGGGUGUAGCGGUGGAAUGCGUAGAGAUGUGGAGGAACACCGAUGGCGAAGGCAGCCUCCUGGGCCAGCACUGACGCUCAUGCACGAAAGCGUGGGGAGCAAACAGG